rnacentral:lncRNA from 1 species
UCGUCUUUCAAGAAAUUUACUUCACCAUGCUUAUGUUUAUGGUAUCUUAUGGAAGGAAUAUGUUAGUUUAAAGACAAACGAGAGCAAACAAUAGUGUACGUAUUCAUGGGAAUUUUGGUUUGUUUAAGGAAAGUAAACUCAGGAAUGUGUCUUUGUAUCUACAACUUGGACUAGUUGACAUUAUCCUACUAAGAAAAAUAAUUGGACAGGGUGUCGAUGUUGGGACUAAAUUAUGAUCUAUGUGAUACACAGAAUCAACAUGGGAUGUGAUAACAUAAUAACAUGUUUGUGGGACAAAGUCUGUAAGUUUAAAGUUUGUAUGUUUAUAUAUAACUGAAAUACAGAUUUCUUCAUAGGUACACACACAUAUAAGUUACAAUAUACUCCUGAAUCAGUGUAUCAAUUAAUGACAUAUUAACUGUAAAUAUUAGUAAAUAAUCUCUUAAAAGUAAUAGUUCGGUUCGAAAAUUAACUCCGUCCAUUCACUACCAGAAGAAAGGUUUUAGCCGACGAAAAUAAAAAAACCAGGCCGACGAAUUAUUUUUUCGUCGGCUAGAGUAAUUCGUCCGCUAAAGUCCACUUUAGCCGACGAAAUUUCCAUUCGUCGGCUAAUUUAAAAUUUUCGUCGGCUAUGGUCAACUUUAGCUGACGAAAUUAAAAUUUCGUCGUCUGAAUAAUUUUUUUCGUCGGCUAUAGUCUGUGAACUUUAGCAGACGAAAUUUUUAAAAGUUUAGCCGACGAAAAAUAUAAUUUCGUCGGUUAAAGUGCCUUAUAUUUGCAGAUCUGGACAACAACUCAUCUGGGAAAAAAAAAAUUAUACGUAGAACCUUGAAACGCAAAAAAGUCGUGAAAUAAGAUAUGACCAGAAUGGUGAAAUACGUCUACGGUUGAAAAAUCACGGUAUUCCGGUAAAGUCUUGGUGCCGAUAGUUGCGGUCAAUACAAUUUACCCUUAUUAUUCACUAUGCUGCAGAUUUGGCGUUUGGUGUCCGAUUGACUAUUGUGAUACCUUUCCGGAAGCAUAACGGCCCUACGAGUCAAACUCAUGGCUUUUGCCAUGACAUAUGGGCCGUUUUGGUCAUCCGAGUCCGUUUAGGGCUUCAAAAUGCAGUUUUCUUAUUUCUGAUUAGAGUUGACCGUUUCGAUCGAGCCUUUAACGUUGUCGAAUCCAGUUGAAUUUUUUUAGCAUAGACAUCUUUCGUCAUAAUGAUCAUAUCUGACGGUCGAAUUUUGGUUUGUAAAUUUUAGUCAUCGAAAUCAUAAUGUGUCUACUAUUUACCGUUAUUAUUCCCUAUGGGGAGCCCUAUCGUCGGAAGGUAAAUGUCUCAAAAAUUUUAUAUGGGCAGUUGCGUCUCAUCUACGUGAGAGUUUUUCGUGUGGAAGGUUUGACCAAACUACGUAAUAUAGAGGGAGAUAUGAGCGUUUUCGUGUGAUAAGUGACGAUGGAUUAGGGUUGACCGUUUCGAUCGAGCCCUUAACGUUGUCGGAUCCAGUUGAAUAUUUUACCAUAGACAUCUUUCAUCGUAAUGAACAUCUCUGAUGGUCGAAUUUUAGUUUUGAAUUUUAGUCAUCGGAAUCAUAACGUGUCUACUAAUGUUGUAUAACUUAUUUAGUAGGUUAUACAACAUUGUGAACCAACUCUACAUAGGAAGCAAAAUUAUCAAAAAUCUCGUGAAAUAAGAUGUGUUCAGAAUGGUGAAAUACGGCUAUGGUUCAAAAAUCACAUAAAUCGGGUAACGUCUCUGUGCCGAUAGUAGCGGUCAACCCUAUUUACAGUUAUUAUUCCCUAUAGGGAGCCCUAUCGUCGGAAAGUAAAUGUCUCAAAAUUUUUAUAUAGGCGGUUGCGUCUCAUCUACGUGAAAGUUUUUUGUGUGGAAGGUUUGACCAAACUACAUAAUAUAGAGGGAGAUAUGAGCGUUUUCGUGAAUUUAUAGACUUUAGCCUACGAGAUAUUAAAAAAGUCGUCGGCUAAGGUCGAAAAAUUUUCAAAUUUUUUUGGCGGUAAAUCAAAUUUGGAGGAAAAUUUUCAAAUGACUUUAGCCGACGAAAAUAUAUGAAAAGUCGUCGGCUAAAGUCGAAAAAUUUUCAACCAAAAUUUUUUGGCUGUCAACCAAAAUUUUAAAAAGAGUUUAGCCGACGAAAAUAAAGAAUUUCGUCGGGUAAAGUUCUUUAUAUAGAAGUUUUACCAGAGGUGGAUAGUAAGAAGUCAGAAAAUCAGAAAAAGUUCCGGAUUUUCUUCUCGGCCAAGCUCCGCCGUCAAACAACCGGAGACCGCCACACUUGUCCCAAAAGCUUCGCCGUCGUCUCUACUUCAUUGCUGGACAGGUGGUGCAUCGAGUGGCGCCGCCGUGAGGGAUAAAUCGAGCUCCAAAACUCCGCCGGUUCGGAUUCGGUGUCGAUCGAAUUUCUCCUUCCUCAGGUCACCAUUUGGUGAGUUCUAUAUAUGGAUAAGUUGAGUUUGAUUAGUACUACAUUCCCCUAGAAUUUGGUAGCUCGAUUCGGUGUGUGUGAGGAGAAUCGAAGAUUUGAAGUUUUUUAGGGUUUAAAAAUUGGGGAUUUUUUAUAUUUUUGAUUCAAUUGACCUGUUUAGGCUUAGAAAUUGGGCUUCGACUUCUUCUAGAAAGUUGUUCGAAAAUGUUGAGAGGAAAUUCUAUCAAAUUUUGGUGGUGAUUGGAGGUGGCCGAAAGUUUAUGCAGUUUUUUUUUUUUCUAAAAACCAAGCAACUUUAACCGACGAUAUUUAAAGGUUUAUUCGUCGGCUAUAGUAUUUUUAAAUUUUUUUUAUAAGGUUUAGCCGACAAAUUAUGGCAUAUUUCGUCGGCUAUAGUUAUUUUUAAAUUUUUUUAUAAGGUUUAGCCGACGAAACAGACUAUAUUUCGUCGGCUAUAGUUAUUUUUUAAAUUUUUUAUAAGGUUUAGCCGACGAAAAAGUCUAUAUUUCGUCGGCUAUAGUUAUUUUUUAAAUUUUUUAUUAAGGUUUAGCCGACGAAAUGCCGACGAAAUAGACUAUAUUUCGUCGGCUAUAGUCUGCGAAAAAUUUUUUAUUACAGACUUUAGCCGACGAAUAUCUUAAUUGUUUCGUCGGCUAAAGUCUGGGAAAAAAACCGACGACAUGUUUUUCGUCGGUUAAACUGUGGGACUAUAGCCGACGAAAUUUUUUUUUCGUCGGUUAAAGUCAUCGCCGACGACCUUUUCCUGACGAAAUCUUAGCCGACGAUAGCUUGUCGGCUAAGAUCUUAGCCGACGAAUUAAGCUAACAGGCCGACGAAACUUUUUCGUCGGCUAAAGUGCUUGUCCUAGUAGUGAUUGAUAACCAUUACAGGUGGUCGAGUUAGUAAGUUUCGUCGGCUAAAGUGCUUGUCCUAGUAGUGAUUGAUAACCAUUACAGGUGGUCGAGUUAGUAAGAGUCUUGAUGUGGAUCCUCCUAUACCCAUAUUCGAAUCCCACUGACGUUAAUUGAAGUUAAAUAUUGAUUUAUUUUUUAUGGACAUAGGGGAAUAAGCAUUCUGACAUAACAUUUCGACGCAGAUUAGUCUCUGGUGAGUCUAUUAAGCCUUUGUGAAUACCGUUAUUGAUACUAUAAAAGAAAAAAAAAUACCAUCCAUUGAUUAAUCAUAAAGAUCAUCUUGGCAAACGAUUAAUCAUAGAUCGUAAGUCUAUUUCUACUUGAUUUAUCGAUACAUUUCCUACUAUCGGUAAACUAACUCGAAGUUCGGUCUUUGAGCCCUAUCCCGUCGAUCAAUGCAUGAAGCAACUCAAGCAAGUCUACUGAUGUAAAAAAAAACGACCUAAUUGAUCUCUAUAGAUUUUGAUGUGUUAACGGAUCUAUG